UACGUAGGGUGCAAGCGUUGUCCGGAAUUAUUGGGCGUAAAGAGCUCGUAGGCGGUCUGUCACGUCGGCUGUGAAAUCCCGAGGCUCAACCUCGGGUCUGCAGUCGAUACGGGCAAACUAGAGUAUUGCAGGGGAGACUGGAAUUCCUGGUGUAGCGGUGAAAUGCGCAGAUAUCAGGAGGAACACCGGUGGCGAAGGCGGGUCUCUGGGCCGGAACUGACGCUGAGGAGCGAAAGCGUGGGGAGCGAACAGG
rnacentral:rRNA from 1 species